rnacentral:rRNA from 1 species
GGAUGAACGCUGGCGGCGUGCCCUAAUACAUGCAAGUCGAGCGAACAGAUAAGGAGCUUGCUCCUUUGACGUUAGCGGCGGACGGGUGAGUAACACGUGGAUAACCUACCUAUAAGACUGGGAUAACUUCGGGAAACCGGAGCUAAUACCGGAUAAGAUUUUGAACCGCAUGGUUCAAUAGUGAAAGACGGCCUUGCUGUCACUUAUAGAUGGAUCCGCGCCGUAUUAGCUAGUUGGUAAGGUAACGGCUUACCAAGGCAACGAUACGUAGCCGACCUGAGAGGGUGAUCGGCCACACUGGAACUGAGACACGGUCCAGACUCCUACGGGAGGCAGCAGUAGGGAAUCUUCCGCAAUGGGCGAAAGCCUGACGGAGCAACGCCGCGUGAGUGAUGAAGGUCUUCGGAUCGUAAAACUCUGUUAUCAGGGAAGAACAAACGUGUAAGUAACUGUGCACGUCUUGACGGUACCUGAUCAGAAAGCCACGGCUAACUACGUGCCAGCAGCCGCGGUAAUACGUAGGUGGCAAGCGUUAUCCGGAAUUAUUGGGCGUAAAGCGCGCGUAGGCGGUUUUUUAAGUCUGAUGUGAAAGCCCACGGCUCAACCGUGGAGGGUCAUUGGAAACUGGAAAACUUGAGUGCAGAAGAGGAAAGUGGA